rnacentral:misc_RNA from 1 species
CAGAGAUGGAUAUAAUAUCGGGUAGUCGGCUGGACGGUCGGUUUCGGAUAACGUGAGAUAAAUUUGACACCGAGCCGGGUAUAAACAAGGAGAACGUAAUACCGAGUUUCGAGUAAACGAAUUCAAUAUUCGACUACACAGAACUGUACGGAGUAUUACCGUUUGUAUUCAUAUCACUUGCGUCGAAUAAUGCUUUCCAUUCGUGUAUCUAUUCAAUUCGAAAGUGAAUGAGAGAUUCCCGUGAUUGAGAUUAUCCUAUAACGUACAAUAAUCAGUUACGUGAAUUAAAGGUGGCUGGAGAAGAUGCAACAAAAAUUAGCUACGCCUACAAUAACAAGAGCAGGAUUUAAAUUGUAUAGUUAUCAAACAAUUCAGUUACAAAACCCAUUUUCAAUACGUAUCAUUACCCAGAUCUAUGUUUCCCGGAUAGGGUAAAAGUGAAACUAGUUAAGCAUUCUACAAGUUUCUACUACUUUUUACUAAAAUCAGUGAUAUUAGAUUAAUAUACCAGGUAAUGACUAAAAGUCCACUUAAUUCUUCGGUGUGGUUGUGAAAUUUUUUCAAUGCAGUUUUACCGAAACUAGACUCGAAAGUUUUUUUUUUUUCUUUUUUUUAUUUGCAAUACCUAAAAUAUUCCCGCACUAAUUAAUUUUAGUAGAUUUCAAGUGUGAUUUCAGUUACAAGCGUGAAUUUAGAAUUCAGUGUAAUAUCAGUGGAGUGAGAAAUCUUUCGAUUUCAAUGAUAUUCCAGUCGUGGAGUAGAAAGUUUUUAUUUCAGUGAUUUUUCGAUGGUACUUUGGUAUGCUGUUAGUACAAUUACAGUGAAAAUACAGUGUAAAAAAUUUUCAACUACAACGUGAAAUCCAAGUGUAAAGUAACUUCGGUUCGAUUUCGGUGGGACGGAAUCUAGCGGUGCUAGCAAGGAAAACGGGAUCUACGACUAGGAUACCCUUCCGUCGAUGGCCAGGAGGGUUUCCGGGAUUCGCGGGACGUGCUCCUCUUGCCGAGGUACCAGCGUCCACCAGGUUCUUUCCGUCACGUCGGCCAUGAUAUCUGACGACGAGGAGGUCGCUCGGCCAGGGUGCAGAGGGCUCGUCAAACUUGUCAUACUAACAACCUGCAGCCCUGGAGACCGUUGCCGGGAACCCUGGGUCAUCCGAUGGCGAAGAAUCUUACCCUGGUAGUCGGAGUAUUAUCAGAAGAGCCUUCGCAAACAAGGACGCUCCAGAAGAGGCGAUCGACGUUCUAGUAGAUUCUUUAUUGGAAUCAACCUUAAAACAAUAUAAUAGUUGCCUAAGAAGCUGGUGGGAAUUUUGCAGAUAGCACCACUACGAUAAAUUCGGAGCCACAGUCAAACAGGUGCUCCGGUUCUUAUCCAGGAAGUUUCAAGAGGGAGCACGAUGUGGUUCGCUGAACACUGCCAGAUCCGCAUAUCACUCAUUUUGUCACAUAGCAUCUCGGAUAACCCGAUCAUUAGCCGUUUCUUCCGUGGUAUCUAUAGAAAUCAACCUUCAAAGACCAAAUACGAGAGUACUUGGGACACAGAACCGGUCCUCGACUUGAUUGAAUCCUUGCAACCCGAGUGCUCGCUCACAAGUCAACAAAUGGCCGAAAAAACAGCAACGCUAUUGGCUCUGAUUACAGCCCACAGGCUUCAGACUUUUGAGCUGAUUGAUAUCGAUAACAUUUCAGUGUCCUCGGCAGGUAAUGCAAUGGAAAUUCCGGAUCUGAUUAAGACUUCUCGGCCGGGUCGAUUUAAACCAAGCCUGGUCUUGCCGUUCUUUAACAAUCGACCUGUCUUAUGCACAGCUAUGGUGUUGUUAGACAACGUCAACUUUACGGAAAGAUUGAAAGGAGACUGUAAAAAACUCGAGAUGAAGAGACCUUAUAAACCAGUAGGCGCCCAGACAAUUAGUCGGUGGAUAAGAGCCUUCAUACAGAAAGCGGGUGUAAAUACAGCAGUAUUCUCGGGCUACAGAGCCAGGCACGCAUCGUUAUUUGCAGAUUUCAGAAACGGCGUAGAUGUAGGCAUCAUCCGAAGGACGGCGGGUUGGACUCAGGGCUGAAAGGUUUUUGCCUGGUUUAACAAUCAACCGAUCUAGGCAGCCAGCGACAGUUUUGUGCUCUCUUUGAUCGAGUCUCGUACAGAUAAUCCUCAACAUGUUCCUACUUAGUUGGUCUCAGAACCUUACCUAAAAAAAAAAAAAAAAAAUACAGUGUGAACAAAAGAAGAAAAUAUCACAUUUUCUGAACAUCUACAAAUAUAAUCUCGAGAACGAGACUCGUGAUAUAAUUACAAGAUCACAUGAACUUACCUGUAAGUGACGUUCGAUCGGAUUUAUAUGGUGAGCCUCGUUCGAAGAUGAUUACAUUCCCAUCCCAAUUACACCCUAUUAUUAAAUAAUAAUUAAUUCCCCGUAAUCAUCUUAGAACAACCUGUGACUAUUUUUCCUUUUAUUUCCUCUAAACACAAAGCUCUGAAAAAUAUAACAAGUCGGGAACGCUGCUGCCCAGUGGGGAUCAUAGAGAUGCAGCUAUCUGUUGUUUUCUAGCUCUAAAAACGUUGUUAAUGUUCACCUGUCGGUAACUCUACAAAUGUAAUCAUCCUCGAACAAGGCUCUCCAUAUAAUUCCGAUCACACGUCACUUACAGGUGAGUUUGUUUGAUCUUGUAAUUAUACAUUAUAUCAUAUCAUCAUACAUUAUACAUUAUACAUCAUAUAUCAUGCAUCAUGCAUCAUGCAUCAUGCAUCAUGUGAUACAUAGUAUUAAAGUUCGAUACCAAAAUUUGGAUGACGGAUGUUCGGAUUUUCAGAAAGUGACGUCACCCAAAAUGUGUUUCUCUUGACGUCAUCGAUCUAUAGUUAUUGUCGACGACGAAAAUCAGCUGGCCGAAUUCCUCAGUCUGGAAACA